rnacentral:rRNA from 1 species
UAGGCAGUUGGCGGGGUAACGGCCCACCAAACCUACGAUGGAUAGGGGUUCUGAGAGGAAGGUCCCCCACAUUGGAACUGAGACACGGUCCAAACUCCUACGGGAGGCAGCAGUGAGGAAUAUUGGUCAAUGGACGAGAGUCUGAACCAGCCAAGUAGCGUGAAGGAUGACUGCCCUAUGGGUUGUAAACUUCUUUUAUACGGGAAUAAAGUGAGCCACGUGUGGCUUUUUGUAUGUACCGUAUGAAUAAGGAUCGGCUAACUCCGUGCCAGCAGCCGCGGUAAUACGGAGGAUCCGAGCGUUAUCCGGAUUUAUUGGGUUUAAAGGGAGCGUAGGCGGGUUGUUAAGUCAGUUGUGAAAGUUUGCGG